rnacentral:lncRNA from 1 species
AGAUGUGCCUGCUUCCCUUCGCCUUCUGCCAUGAUUGUAAGUUUCCUGAGGCCUCCACAACGAUGCUUUCUAUAGAGCCUGUGGAACAUUCACUGUCAGAGAUUCAAAGAGGCUUCUGGAUGAGUUACCUCAGAGUUAUCCACAAGUCAUCAAGUGGCAAACUUGGAAGAGUGAUGGUAGAAUAUUGGAUGACAGUGUCUACUAGCAGAGAAUCCCUAGAGUUGAACAGACACAUUUCAAGCCUUAUCCAAGUUUAGGACUUUUGGAAAGCAUUGCAGUUGCGAAUAAGAGAAUGUGCUUGGAAUCUUACUCUUGUGCAUUGAAGAAGGAUAAGAAACAGGAAGAAGUAGAAGAAUAAGGGGCUGGAGAUCAAGACCUACCCAUUGUGAUGAAUAAAUCCAGGCUCUCAGCAAUGCAGGGAGAAAAAGUUUUGUCUAUCAACACUGCAGCAACCAGUCUCUUAGCACAGGCACCAGCCCUGGAGUUCAUGUCCUCAUCAAAGGAUGGAAAGAAGCAAAGCUCAAAUCAGCUUGGGAAGGACCUUACCUAGUGCUCCUGACCACUGUAACCAUCAUCCAGACAGCAGAGAAAGGAUGGACUCAUUAUACCCGAGUCAAAGUGUUGCCACCUCCACAGUCAUGGGCCAUUGUUCCAGGGGAAAGCCCUACCAAAUUAAAGCUAAGAAAAACUUAUCACCUUUCCU